CCUACGGGGGGCAGCAGUGAGGAAUAUUGGUCAAUGGGCGCGAGCCUGAACCAGCCAAGUAGCGUGAAGGAUGACUGCCCUACGGGUUGUAAACUUCUUUUAUAAAGGAAUAAAGUGAGGCACGUGUGCCUUUUUGUAUGUACUUUAUGAAUAAGGAUCGGCUAACUCCGUGCCAGCAGCCGCGGUAAUACGGAGGAUCCGAGCGUUAUCCGGAUUUAUUGGGUUUAAAGGGAGCGUAGAUGGGUUGUUAAGUCAGUUGUGAAAGUUUGCGGCUCAACCGUAAAAUUGCAAUUGAUACUGGCCGUAUUGAGUACAGAUGAGGUAGGCGGAAUUGGUGGUGUAGCGGUGAAAGGCUUAGAUAUCACGAAGAACUCCGAUUGCGAAGGCAGCUUACUAAACUGCGACUGACAUUGAUGCUCGAAAGUGUGGGUAUCAAACAGGAUUAGAUACCCGGGUAGUC
rnacentral:rRNA from 1 species